rnacentral:lncRNA from 1 species
AAAAAUGUACAGAGUUUAUCUAUACCAUGUACAAUCAGAUCUUUCUAUAAUAACAUACCUAUAUAACAACACUUCAUUAUAAAAAACAAGCUUUUUCAGAACCAAUUUUUAUGUUAUAUUGCAAUAUAUGUUCUCUAUAACAACAUUUCACUAUAACAUCUUAAAAAAUUCGGAACAAACGAGUCUGUUAUAGAGAGAUUUGACGGUAUAUACAGCGAGCCCAUUGGCUAUAUUUGCAAAGUUCGACCAUUUUAAAGUUGUUAAGGUCAAUUUUAAUUAGUCUUGAGAUGACAGGAAAAUUGCCACACUUAUGAAAGGCAUCAUCCAUAAGAACACCAGAUUCUUUUACAUCUUUUUGAAUUUUGCCCCUUACCAUAUGAAGCCUCAAUAAUGAUCAGCAUGUCUCAUCCUUGAGAGCAGCUGUAACCAAAAUCCCUCUGCCAAUAAUCACAUAAUAAGGCAUCAAACGACAGAAUCAGGAGUCAUAACUGAACAAAUGAUGAAAUGGCCAAUCUUUUCUUUGAUUCUUCACUGUGUUACAAAUCUAUAAAUACACCAUCCAUAGAAUAUAUUACUCUAUCUGCUUCAGGCUUUUCUGUUAGAAGUAGCUGAAUAAAGAAUGUCUAGGAGUCUGAUAAGGAUUUAGAUCUAUCAAUUUCACUAUAAGGAGAGGGAAUAUAAAUUACAUUUAUGAAAAAGAUCUUCUAAUUUAUGUAAAGCCAAUAAAAAUAUCAUCGCAGCGUACUUGCUCAGUCCAUUUCCAGCGCAACAUAGUUAUACACAUGUUAUACAUGAGUUAUACAUAUAUUAUACACCCGCGGGCUAUUUUUAGUUUAAGAGAUCAGUUGGGCGGCUAUUUGAGUUAAUUCUGGAAUAACAACAAAUUAGUGUUUUAACUCCAAGUGCUUUUAUCUGAAGAAGAUAAUCUGCUAAAUGGGGGAUAUCAACUUAAAUCCAUUCCUUAGCACUUCUAUGCAAUCACUUAGCCCCUUUCCAAAACAAUGAAAUUGGUCUCUUCAAUAUCCUGUUCCAACCUAAGCAGGGGCGAAGUUAUGUAUGGCCAAGCCCUUUGUCAGGUAAAAUAUUACUUGUUAUUGAUUCAAAAAUAGACUUUGAACACUCACGGGCAAAGAACACCCUUAUUGAAUUUCGUAUUGAUUAAAAAAUAGACUUUGAAUACUCACGGGCAAAGAACACCCUUAUUGAAUUUCGUGGCUUUGUCACUGAACCUAAACCAUGUCAAGUAUAGACAGUUAUAACAACAUACUUCAUGAAUAAUACACAAUGCUUCUUUUAUAAGAUUAUACAUAAAAUACUGGAACAUACAAUCAAAAGAAUUUACUUUUACCACUUUUAGGCCAUAUGGCAAGAAAUAAUCUUAAUGCAUUUCUCAAUCACACUGCUUCAAUGUGAAGCAAAGGGUUAUAACUGAAAGGUUGGCUUGAAAAAAGAAGCUCAGUAAAGCACUGACCUUUCUUCACUGCAAGUAGAAGAUACCAAUUCUACAGCACUCAUUAAGAAUAUUGAACUUAAUAAAGGAUAGAACUUCACAUUAUUGAAGCUUGGAUCUUCUAAAGAAAGCUUCGUCUUAAAAAAAUUAGCCAAACAAAAUUUAGGAAAGCGUUGUUGUCCC